rnacentral:rRNA from 1 species
CGCUAAAAGAUAUUAUUUUUAGUAAAAUCUGCUCAAUGAAAUUAAAUAGCCGCAGAAUUUUUACUGUGCUAAGGUAGCAUAAUCACUAGUCUUUUAAUUAAAAACUUGUAUGAAGGAUUAAACAUUUUAAAAACUUUUUUAAAUUAAAAAGUAAAAUCUAUAUUAAAUAUAAAAUAUAUUUAUAAAAAAAAUAGACGACAAGACCCUAUCGAACUUAACAUUGUUUAGCUGGGGCAGCUAAUUAAACAUAAUUUUAAUUUUUAUUUUUAUAAAAAUAUCCAAUAUUAUUGAAUUUACCAAGUUACCGUAGGGAUAACAGCGUAAUUUAUUUUUUAAGCUCUAUUUGAAAAUGAGAUUACGACCUCGAUGUUGAAUUAUAUCUCCUUUUAGCGCAAUAGCCUUUUAGGAAGGUCUGUUCGACCUUUAAAUUUUUACA